rnacentral:rRNA from 1 species
UCCUGACUGACCGAUAGUGAACCAGUACCGUGAGGGAAAGGCGAAAAGAACCCCGGCGAGGGGAGUGAAAAAGAACCUGAAACCGUGUACGUACAAGCAGUGGGAGCACGCUUAGGCGUGUGACUGCGUACCUUUUGUAUAAUGGGUCAGCGACUUAUAUUCUGUAGCAAGGUUAACCGAAUAGGGGAGCCGAAGGGAAACCGAGUCUUAACUGGGCGUUAAGUUGCAGGGUAUAGACCCGAAACCCGGUGAUCUAGCCAUGGGCAGGUUGAAGGUUGGGUAACACUAACUGGAGGACCGAACCGACUAAUGUUGAAAAAUUAGCGGAUGACUUGUGGCUGGGGGUGAAAGGCCAAUCAAACCGGGAGAUAGCUGGUUCUCCCCGAAAGCUAUUUAGGUAGCGCCUCGUGAAUUCAUCUCCGGGGGUAGAGCACUGUUUCGGCAAGGGGGUCAUCCCGACUUACCAACCCGAUGCAAACUGCGAAUACCGGAGA